rnacentral:lncRNA from 1 species
AGUGUGGAUUUAGCAAUUACUUAGCUCAGCAGAGAUAAUGUACCCCAUAAAAUGGCAGAGACACUGGCCAGGGCUGGGCCCAGGAAUUCAGUAUGGAUAAUAUUCUAAUUCUGUAUGACAAGCUUUACCAUAAAUUUGAAUCUGUAAUUUCUGCUUUGAUCAAUUUGAUGUAUAAGGAGUGGAGCCAGUCAAAUUUGGAAAUAAAAUUUCGAGGUUAGAAUUCCAAUUAUGCCGGUGAUUCACUGCAUAAAACAUACGAGCCUCAGUUUCCGUUUUCAUCUGAAAUAAAAGGAGAUUGACUCCAGGAUCUUCCAAGGCUGCUAUUCCAAGAGCAGGUUCAUAAAGGUGAUUGUCAAGCUCCAGUGCAAAUGCUAAUAAUCUGGAAUUUUCCUUCAAACCAUCUGCCUAUGCAAAAUACAACUGGGUCACACUGGAAGAUCUUGAAGAUAUAAACCUUUUGCCAUGUAAAUGUGAAGGAGGAAAAAAAUGGAAGAGAAUCUACGAUUUUAAAAGGCAUAUUUUAGUGGGUUACAAUAUGUUAUAAUUGAUAUUUCUUACUGGCCUAAAAACAACACUAAAAUAAUCCUGAAGAGCAGAGUAGCUGUAAAAAAAAAUCGCAAUAAAAAAAUCCUCCCAUAAUAAGCUAAAAU